GACGAACGCUGGCGGCGUGCUUAACACAUGCAAGUCGAACGAAGUGGCGAACGGGUGAGUAAUACGUGGGUAACCUGCCCUCCUUUUUGGGCUAAGCAUUGGAAACGGGGUCUAAUACCGAAUAAAGGGGGAUGGGCUCGCGGCCUAUCAGCUUGUUGGUGGGGUGAUGGCUUACCAAGGCGGUGACGGGUAGCCGGACUGAGAGGGUGACCGGCCACAUGGGGGCGGAGAUACGGCCCGGAAUCCUACGGGAGGCAGCAGGGGGGGAUAUUGCACAAUGGGCGAAAGCCUGAUCGAGCGACGCCUGGAGGGGGAUGAAGGCGUUCGGGUUGUAAACCUCUUUCGAUAUCGAACGGGUAGGUAGAGAAGAAGCGCCGGCUAACUACGUGCCAGCAGCCGCGGUAAUUC
rnacentral:rRNA from 1 species